GGCUCGGUGGUGGAUGGUCCACAUCUGCAUUGAAUUAGGAGACAAGAAAAAUCGAGCAGAAGCUACCCGUUCGAUUCGGGCCCGAGCCA